UUCUACUGACUCUUUUAAAAUAAUUAUUCAUUGGAGGUUUAAUAUGAAUAUAAAGGAUGAGCAUAUAGAUAGCGUUUGCUCCUUGUUAGAUCAGUUAGUAGGAA
rfam:Haemophilus influenzae Rd KW20, complete genome.